UGGGGAAUUUUGGACGAAUUGGGCGAAAGCCUGAAUCCAGCAAUGCCGCGUGUGUGAAGAAGGCCUUCGGGUUGUAAAGCACUUUUGUCCGGAAAGAAAUCCUUGGCUCUAAUACAGUCGGGGGAUGACGGUACCGGAAGAAUAAGCACCGGCUAACUACGUGCCAGCAGCCGCGGUAAUACGUAGGGUGCAAGCGUUAAUCGGAAUUACUGGGCGUAAAGCGUGCGCAGGCGGUUUGCUAAGACCGAUGUGAAAUCCCCGGGCUCAACCUGGGAACUGCAUUGGUGACUGGCAGGCUAGAGUAUGGCAGAGGGGGGUGAGAAUUCCACGUGUAGCAGUGAAAUGCGUAGAGAUGUGGAGGAAUACCGAUGGCGAAGGCAGCCCCCUGGCAAGUACUGACGCUCAUGCACG
rnacentral:rRNA from 1 species